GGACUCAGUGGAGACCGCCGGGGUCAACUCGGAGGAAGGUGGGGAUGACGUCAAGUCAUCAUGCCCCUUAUGUCCAGGGCUUCACGCAUGCUACAAUGGCCGGUACAAAGAGUUGCGAGCCUGUGAGGGUGAGCGAAUCUCGGAAAGCCGGUCUCAGUUCGGAUUGGGGUCUGCAACUCGACCUCAUGAAGUCGGAGUCGCUAGUAAUCGCAGAUCAGCAACGCUGCGGUGAAUACGUUCCCGGGGCUUGUACACACCGCCCGUCAAGUCAUGAAAGUUGGUAACACCCGAAGCCGGUGGCCUAACCGUUGUGGGGGAGCCGUCGAAGGUGGGACUGGUGAUUAGGACUAAGUCGUAACAAGGUAGCCGUACCGGAAGGUGCGGCUGGAUCACCUCCUUU
rnacentral:rRNA from 1 species